CCGUCCGGUAUGAGGGUGAAACGGGCCGUCCCCAUACCCCGUCCGGUAUGGGCGCCAAAACCAUAAGAUCUCCAUACCCCGUCCGGCAUGUGAGACCACAAUCCCGGUAGGGUUCCCUACGGACCCGGUCCGUCCACCAUCUCCCAAGAUAUCUAGUCAGGCUGACCCCAUCAUACAAUUAUCAGUUUACACAAUGUUUCAUUUUCUUUUUCCUCAAUAAGCAUUAUCAAUUCACAUUUAAACAAGCAAAUCGUAAUUCAUGCCAAACAGACAACAUACAGUAUCAGUUCUUCAGUCAUUCAACCCAUAAUUAAUAAAACAGUAAUAUAUGCACUCGAAACUAUAAAAUAAACACAUCAAACCCCAUAAUGCAUUUAAAGCUGUAAAACAGGCCAAAUAACAGUAAAUCAUCAAUCACACUAGACUCGGACUCCAUUAGCAACCUUAAGCAAUUUCACACAUGCGUUAAUUCAAGA
rnacentral:lncRNA from 1 species